rnacentral:sRNA from 1 species
AGUGAUUCUGGAGGUUUUUGGUCUAGUUUUUCUUUUUCAUUUUCAUUUUUUUUGGUUUUUGGUCUAGUUUUUUCU